UGGGGAAUAUUGGACAAUGGGCGAAAGCCUGAUCCAGCCAUGCCGCGUGAGUGAUGAAGGCCCUAGGGUUGUAAAGCUCUUUCACCGGUGAAGCGGUAACCGGAGAAGAAGCCCCGGCUAACUUCGUGCCAGCAGCCGCGGUAAUACGAAGGGGGCUAGCGUUGUUCGGAAUUACUGGGCGUAAAGCGCACGUAGGCGGAUAUUUAAGUCAGGGGUGAAAUCCCAGAGCUCAACUCUGGAACUGCCUUUGAUACUGGGUAUCUCGAGUCCGAGAGAGGUGAGUGGAAUUCCGAGUGUAGAGGUGAAAUUCGUAGAUAUUCGGAGGAACACCAGUGGCGAAGGCGGCUCACUGGCUCGGUACUGACGCUGAGGUGCGAAAGCGUGGGGAGCAAACAGGAUUAGAUACCCCAGUAGU
rnacentral:rRNA from 1 species